UGGAGGCAGCAGUGAGGAAUUUUGGACAAUGGGCGCAAGCCUGAUCCAGCAGUGCCGCGUGAGUGAAGAAGGCCUUCGGGUUGUAAAGCUCUUUUGUCAGGGAAGAAACGGCUGAGGAUAAUACCUUCGGCUAAUGACGGUACCUGAAGAAUAAGCACCGGCUAACUACGUGCCAGCAGCCGCGGUAAUACGUAGGGUGCAAGCGUUAAUCGGAAUUACUGGGCGUAAAGCGUGCGCAGGCGGUUUUGUAAGUCUGACGUGAAAUCCCCGGGCUCAACCUGGGAAUUGCGUUGGAGACUGCAAGGCUGGAGUCUGGCAGAGGGGGGUAGAAUUCCACGUGUAGCAGUGAAAUGCGUAGAGAUGUGGAGGAACACCGAUGGCGAAGGCAGCCCCCUGGGUCAAGACUGACGCUCAUGCACGAAGGCGUGGGGAGCAAACAGGAUUAGAUACCCCGGUAGG
rnacentral:rRNA from 1 species